rnacentral:rRNA from 1 species
GAUGAACGCUAGCGGCAGGCUUAAUACAUGCAAGUCGAACGGGAUUCAGGGUAGCAAUACUUUGAUGAGAGUGGCGCACGGGUGCGUAACGCGUAUGCAACCUACCUUUAACAGGGGAAUAGCCCCGAGAAAUCGGGAUUAAUACUCCGUAACAUUGCGGGAUGGCAUCAUUCUGCAAUUAAAGAUUUAUCGGUUAAAGAUGGGCAUGCGUGACAUUAGCUUGUUGGUGAGGUAACGGCUCACCAAGGCAACGAUGUCUAGGGGUCCUGAGAGGGUUAUCCCCCACACUGGUACUGAGACACGGACCAGACUCCUACGGGAGGCAGCAGUAAGGAAUAUUGGUCAAUGGGCGCAAGCCUGAACCAGCCAUGCCGCGUGCAGGAAGACGGCCCUAUGGGUUGUAAACUGCUUUUGUCAGGGAAUAAACCUGUCUACGUGUAGACAGCUGAAGGUACCUGAAGAAUAAGCAUCGGCUAACUCCGUGCCAGCA